rnacentral:rRNA from 2 species
CCUGACUGCUAUCGGAUUGAUACUAAGCCAUGCGAGUCGUUGUAGCAAUACAAGGCAGACGGCUCAGUAACACGUAGUCAACCUACCCUAUGGUCGGGGAUAAUCUCGGGAAACUGAGCAUAAUACCCGAUAGGUCAUAAUGCCUGGAAUGGUUUAUGGCCCAAAUGAUUUAUCGCCAUAGGAUGGGACUGCGGUCUAUCAGCUUGUUGGUGAGGUAAUGGCCCACCAAGGCAAUAACAGAUACGGGCUCUGAGAGGAGAAGCCCGGAGAUGGGUACUGAGACACGGACCCAGGCCCUAUGGGGCGCAGCAGGCGAGAAAACUUUGCAAUGUGCGAAAGCACGACAAGGUUAAUCCGAGUGUUUCCUGCUAAAGGAAUCUUUUGUCGAUCCUAAAAACACCGAUGAAUAAGGGGUGGGCAAGUUCUGGUGUCAGCCGCCGCGGUAAGACCAGCACCUCAAGUGGUCAGGAGGAUUAUUGGGCCUAAAGCAUCCGUAGCCGGCUGUGUUAGUCUCCGGUUAAAUCCAUAUGCUUAACAUAUGGGCUGCCGGAGAUACUGCACAGCUAGGGAGUGGGAGAGGUAGACGGUACUUGGUAGGAAGGGGUAAAAUCCUUUAAUCUACUGAUGACCACCUGUGGCGAAGGCGGUCUACUAGAACACGUCCGACGGUGAGGGAUGAAAGCUGGGGGAGCAAACCGGAUUAGAUACCCGGGUAGUCCCAGCUGUAAACAAUGCAAACUCAGUGAUGCGCUGGCUUGUGGCCAGCGCAGUGCCGCAGGGAAGCCGUUAAGUUUGCCGCCUGGGAAGUACGUACGCAAGUAUGAAACUUAAAGGAAUUGGCGGGGGAGCACCACAAGGGGUGAAGCCUGCGGUUC